GGUAAUAGCUCAGUGGUAGAGCUCAUGCUUAACAUGCACGAGGUCCUGGGUUCAAUCCCCAGUACCU
rnacentral:tRNA from 1 species